GCUUGAUUUUUCCUCUUCACUGUGGUGAGGUCAGAUUCCUGCAUUUGUGACAUAGCAGCAAGUUGCCAUGGAGAUGAUAGCUUUAUCAGUAGCUGUUCUUUCCCAUGACUUCACAGCAAGGUUACCAAGAAGCAGAUGGGCUGUGAAGGAGA
ensembl:misc_RNA